CGUACCUCAUAAUUAAUACCAACGAAUUGCCAGUUAAUCAUGGGCCCUGAUUUGGGGAUCAGAAGCCUGCAGACCCAGACUCCACGGGAGGCUGUCAUCCAGUGGCUGAGCUUGGCUGAUGAAGUAGAUGCUGGAGUCCAGAGAGGGGGGCAGAAGAAUGAAAAUUUUAAAACCACAAGAAAAGACCAAUGACUCCUUAAGAUAGACCAUAAUGGGGGAAUGAUGGCUGAGCAGUCUACCUCCUACAUCAUCCACCUUACCUGCUACCAGCAGCAACACCAUACUGGAAACACCAUCUUGAGAAGACAUGGAAACUUGGAUCUAAAAACAGCUGAGUUGUUCCAACAACCUUUAAGUUUGUGAAAGUAAGAAAGAAGCCAAAAUAAAUUAUUUUAAACUUGUGUUUAGAAGAUUCUC
rnacentral:lncRNA from 1 species